rnacentral:rRNA from 1 species
GACGAACGCUGACGGCGUGCUUAACACAUGCAAGUCGAACGGUGAAGCGCCUUCCUUUUUGGUGGGUGUGGAUGAGUGGCGAACGGGUGAGUAACACGUGAGUAACCUGCCCCCUUCUUCUGGAUAACCGCAUGAAAGUGUGGCUAAUACGGGAUAUUCUGGGUCUGUCGCAUGAUGGGUCUGGGAAAGAUAUUGUUUCGGUGGGGGAUGGGCUCGCGGCCUAUCAGCUUGUUGGUGGGGUGAUGGCCUACCAAGGCGGUGACGGGUAGCCGGCCUGAGAGGGUGGACGGUCACACGGGGACUGAGACACGGCCCAGACUCCUACGGGAGGCAGCAGGGGGGAAUAUUGCACAAUGGGCGCAAGCCUGAUGCAGCGACGCCGCGAGAGGGAUGGAGGCCUUCGGGUUGUGAACCUCUUUCGCCAGUGAAGCAGGCCUGCCUCGUUUGUGGGUGGGUUGACGGUAGCUGGAUAAGAAGCGCCGGCUAACUACGUG